CCUACGGGCGGCAGCAGUCGAGAAUCAUUCACAAUGGGGGAAACCCUGAUGGUGCGACGCCGCGUGGGGGAAUGAAGGUCUUCGGAUUGUAAACCCCUGUCAUGUGGGAGCAAAUUAAAAAGAUAGUACCACAAGAGGAAGAGACGGCUAACUCUGUGCCAGCAGCCGCGGUAAUACAGAGGUCUCAAGCGUUGUUCGGAAUCACUGGGCGUAAAGUGUGCGUAGGCUGUUUCGUAAGUCGUGUGUGAAAGGCGCGGGCUCAACCCGCGGACGGCACAUGAUACUGCGAGACUAGAGUAAUGGAGGGGGAACCGGAAUUCUCGGUGUAGCAGUGAAAUGCGUAGAUAUCGAGAGGAACACUCGUGGCGAAGGCGGGUUCCUGGACAUUAACUGACGCUGAGGCACGAAGGCCAGGGGAGCGAAAGGGAUUAGAUACCCUAGUAGUC
rnacentral:rRNA from 1 species